rnacentral:rRNA from 1 species
CCUACGGGGGGCUGCAGUAAGGAAUAUUGGUCAAUGGACGGAAGUCUGAACCAGCCAUGCCGCGUGGAGGAUGAAGGCCCUCUGGGUUGUAAACUUCUUUUAUGUAGGAAGAAAAGCACCGAUUCUUCGGUGUUUGACGGUACUAUAGGAAUAAGCACCGGCUAACUCCGUGCCAGCAGCCGCGGUAAUACGGAGGGUGCAAGCGUUAUCCGGAUUCACUGGGUUUAAAGGGUGCGUAGGCGGGUAAGUAAGUCAGUGGUGAAAGCCUGGAGCUU